ensembl:lncRNA
CUGAAUUUCAUUCAGCCCGUUACCAUCCUUAUCAUUGUCAUUAUUAUUCUUUAGCUAUUGAGGGCAAGAAAUUAUGUACAAAAAUCCAGAGGCUUCUACACUUUUCUAGAGCAGGUGAUGAGCUCCCAAGCUUCACCAAAGGAGGCUGUGUUUUCACCAAGUACCACAAAGCACCAAGGCUGAAGCUGGAAUGGCACUUUUCCAAUACCCUUACCAAAAAUAACUUGAGCUUUGGCCCCACUGCCUGCUGCUCUCAGUGUGAGUGUCACAGAAACAUAUGCGGCCUUUCCUCUGGAAAGGUGAGACAGUGCUCAUGAAAAUGACUUGGCUAUCACCAACAAGGGAGGUGAUUUGUUCUACAGCCAGCUCUCCCCUCUACCGGUCCUCAGCCAGUGAAAGAAGAAUGACUUGGAAGAUGACAUCAAAUCAGGUUCAAGCCAAUUUGGCCAACAGACCAGAUUGGAAUAUCGAUUUAGCACUCAGAUAGGAAAGCCAGCCUUUUGCCAGGAUGGCCAAAAUACCAUCUGUAGCGAAUGAAAUCUGAUUGCUUUGCACAAAGUCUUCUGGAUCCCAGUUUUUGGACAAGGUCUGUGAGGGUGAAAAUGCAUCCAGAAGCCAGACUCUCCUUAAAUCAUCCUCAUUCUUGAGACAAUGAGGAAAAGGGAAGAAAAAGUCCACCUACAAAUGACAAAUGAUCAACACAGCUUGCUUGCUAAGUGAAGCUGACUAAUCUAUUACCUCUGAAAUGAUUUCAAGGUGUUACAGAAUGAGCUUGCCUAUAUUUCACAUUUGCGGGGACAUAAGGCAAUAAAUUCUAAGCAUGCUUCGUUGCCCUGUAAUAAGUUACUCACAUCAUCUUCACACUAGUUGAUUACUGAUCAAAUCGUUAGGUGACCAUGAUUGAGACUGCAAGCAUAUUUUUGCCAAAGGAUAUGCAUCGCAAAAUGUUUUCACAGUAGAAAGACUCAAGGAAAUACACAGUUGGAAGUUCCUGAACUCUGAUGUCGGUGGAAUAACACUUGAUUUAUUCAAUCACAGCACAUUAUUUGCAACCUGUGUAAUUUGCAUGUCAUACAUUUCUACAGAAUCCGAGAACAUUCAUGUUUUAUCUAAUUUAUCUCCAUAAUUUCCCUGGCUGGUGAAAAGAAAGUGCUGAUUGGCAAACCUGACCCAAGUUAUCAUGUUUUGCAAAUAAGGACCUCACUGCACAAAAAGGUGGAUUAGUUUGUCCCAGGACAUUCGCACACAAAAUCUAAAUUAUCUACACUAUAUUGAUUUUCUCCUUCACCGUUACAUCUUAAAGACCCUGAAGUGGAAAAUGAAGGCACACCUAUUGGUGGUGGGUGGUAAUUGCCAAGUAAUCCUUCUCCCUUCGUGCUGCAUGGCAACCCUUCGCUCAGAAAUUUCUUAACAGUGCAGAGCAACACAACACACACAGUUUCUCAUUAUCCAUGUGCCCCUAUCUGUGCUAGCACCUGGGAGGUUAACAGAUGAAUGUGUCAAACUGCAGCUCUCCAGAGCCUCUUCUCAUGAUGGGAGGGAUAUAGUUAGACAUAUCAAGAUACAGCUAAAUAUGUAAAAAUGUUGGCACUGUCUUACACACUAUUUCUUCAUUUAUUUAACAAAAAUAAAAACAAAAACCGAUGAAUAAAAAGUUAGCGGAACCAAUCUCCUCUUUUCUAAUUCUAAACCCUCAAGCAUUAAUGUGAUCAAAUUGAUGUGGAAACUUCUUCUACCUUUUUCGGUGCUUGUGCAAACUUAUACAAACCUGUGUUGACUUUUAAAAUUUUCUCAAUGGAAUCAUACUAUAUAAAGCGCACUGAAAGUAGCUUUUUUUUUCUGUAGUAAUAUCAUGGACAUUCUUCUAAGCAUAUAUGGAGAAAAUUAACUUGUUGUUUUUCAAUUUCAUUUUAUUCAUUUUUUUUUUUUUUAUUUUGUGGGGGGCAAGGUCUCACUCUGUUGCCGAGGCUGAAGUGCAGUGGCACAAUCACUGCUCACUGAAACCUCGACCUCCUAGGCUCAAAUGAUCCUCCUACCUCAGCCUCCCAAGUAGCCAGGAUGAGAGGCACAUACCACUAUGCCCACAGAGUUUUUUAGUUUUUGUAGAGAUUUGGCGGUGGGCGUGUCUCUCUAUGUUGCUCACAUUGGUCUUGAACUCCCGAGUUCAAGUGAUCCUCCCCACACAGCCUCCUAAAGUGCUGGGAAUACUGGUGUUAGCCACUGUGCCUGGCUGAAAACUAACUUUGUAGAUAGUUGCAUACUAUUCUGUAUUACAGGUAUGCUAUGGUUAAUUCAACAAUCCCAUAAUUAGUGGACAUUAAAGUUAUUUUUUGUGUUUUUCCCCAGUGAUCUAUGUCUUCUCCUCUUCAUCCUCCUCCUCCUCCUCCCUCUUCUUUUCUUUAUACCUCCAAAGGUACAAGAAAACAUUUGUACUUAUAUUUCCACUUAAGGAUUUUCUCAUUUCUGUCAAAAAGAUUCACAAAAGUGAGAUUACUGGGAC